rnacentral:rRNA from 1 species
AUUGAACGCUGGCGGCAGGCCUAACACAUGCAAGGCGAGCGGUAGCACAGAGAGCUUGCUCUCGGGUGACGAGCGGCGGACGGGUGAGUAAUGUCUGGGAAACUGCCUGAUGGAGGGGGAUAACUACUGGAAACGGUAGCUAAUACCGCAUAACGUCGCAAGACCAAAGAGGGGGACCUUCGGGCCUCUUGCCAUCAGAUGUGCCCAGAUGGGAUUAGCUAGUAGGUGGGGUAACGGCUCACCUAGGCGACGAUCCCUAGCUGGUCUGAGAGGAUGACCAGCCACACUGGAACUGAGACACGGUCCAGACUCCUACGGGAGGCAGCAGUGGGGAAUAUUGCACAAUGGGCGCAAGCCUGAUGCAGCCAUGCCGCGUGUAUGAAGAAGGCCUUCGGGUUGUAAAGUACUUUCAGCGGGGAGGAAGGUGUUGAGGUUAAUAACCUCAGCAAUUGACGUUACCCGCAGAAGAAGCACCGGCUAACUCCGUGCCAGCAGCCGCCGUAA